UGGAGAGAAGGCAUGCAAGUCUGCAUAUCCUGACCCCUAUAGUCUACAUAUCCUGACCAUUUUUGGGAUGCCAUUGCUGAGGCCAUGGCCAUUAGAUGAGGUUGAAGCCAUUGAAGAUGAAGAUACACAAGAAGUGCAACCUGUCCAGACAGUAGACGAACAGCAAGAAGACAGUCACUCAGUUCCAUAAUCAGAGCCACCAGCGCAGAUACUGACACUCUGUGUAAUUUAGAGGAAAGCAUUGAGGUGGGACCUGCACCCAAUCAGACACUGGACACAUGGUCUGCAACCAGGCAAGGGAAAAGGAUAACAUAGAUGCCAUCUCAUCAAAGAGUGAAGUUGCAUACAAGUUCUGCUGCAAAGGACCUCAGCUGAGGAAACCAAUCAGGCAGCCCAUGGCUAAUGAGUGUGCACAAAACAAUGUUUGAUGCAUUGGGAAGACUGACCAAAGGAUUUUUGUCAAUGUGAAGGAGCAUGGAGAAUUCUGGCACAAACUUGGCACUGGGUUUUGCAGAUCCUGGAGCCCAUCCUUUCCAGCAUGGACGCAGUGUUCAACGCGAUCAGCACAAUGGUGAACCGAAAUAUGAUGCCCGAUGGUCAAUUUCUCAGUUCCAAUGCAGCAAAGCAGUUUGCACCAGGUAUCUGGGUCCUGCAUUGUAAGCUCAGUCUAAAGUCAUUCUUUGUUCAGCAUUCUGACAUGCAAGCUUAGACUGCAUGCUGCCAUCUGUGGAUAAGGUGUGCAAAAGGAUGAUGCAACAGUUCAACAAUCAACAUGUUACCAGGAUUGCUAAGGCACUGCCCCAAGGAAGUGGCAGUGGCUCUACAGAGUACAAACCUGCUGUCCUCUCUCAGGAAGGCAAUAUUCAUCCUCUCACCUUGGCAGUCUGCUAGAGCAUUUGCUGCUACCUGUCAGCCAGCCACUCCAUACUGCUGGCACUAAUGCUGAGGUGGUGCAGUGCACAGCCAGGCCUUAGGCCUAGAGCUGCUGGAAGGUAUCCAUCCUGCAAGUGGGCCAUCUUCUGUCUCUCCACUGAAAAUCAGCAGUUUUUCACCAGUCAUGCUGCAGCCACUUGGGUAGCAUUGUGUAAGAACACUAGAACAAGAAAAGGCCCAUCAGUCUACCUCCAUUCAUUAGAAAAGUAAUAGAAGGAGUCAUCAACAUUGUUACAAUAUGUAAAUCAAAAGAAUCAACUUUACCAACCACUCCCCAAAUGAAAAAAUUACCAACAAGAUUUCACGUUUUUGUAACUUAAACACAAAUCAGAAUCAACAUAAAUAAAUAGCAAAUCACUGUUGGUACAAAGUAUAAGUUGUACAUGGGAUAGCAUAUGUAACAAAGCCCAUCUCACUGCAUUAGUGAGGCAGUCCACCCUGCCUAUAUAGUCACAGUUUCAGCCACACAGUUCUUCUGAGCAUAAUUCCUUUCCUUCAAGGUCUUAGCCAAUUCUCUACAGGCAGCAGCCAACUCUUGUUUCUUCUUUGUCUUUCUAAUCUUGUCUGUGUGCCACACAGGCCUCCAUAUUUUAACUUCCUUCCUGUGGUAUUGCUUCCAGGUCAAGGGUCACCAGGUCACAUGGACCAGUAUUUCUUAUUUAUUUAAAAAUUAUAAUUGAUCCCUCUACAAGUGAUGCAAACUCUUAAAAGUAACAUUUUUAAAAACAGUUCCACAUUUCCUGAAUAUUUAAAAGUAAUUAUACAUUUUCCUUACUUUUCUACCGAGACUGGGUGAGCUGUUUCCAUUAAAGUAAAUUUCAUGUAGCAUACUUAUCAAAAACUGCCAAAAAAAAGCACAUUUUCCCAAAUGAGACAAGAGAGUCAGAUUACAGCAAGACCUUCGGAUUUAAGCUUAACUUUUGUCUGGCGAUCUUGCUUAAUGACUUUGCUCCAUCUUAUAUAAAUAUAUUUUUACUUUGCAACUACAAGUUCUUUAUAUGUUGAACGUGAACAAUAUUUUCCACUAUUUUAAAAUAAUUACCUUUUUCGUUUUUGAUUUGAUUGAAUUACAAUUGCUUAAUAAGCAAUAUAUUCAUACUUUUAAGAUAAAUGAUGCCAAAAGUCAGUAGAGCCUUUUAUCCAUAACUCAAAAAUGUAAAAUCUAAUUGAUUUGAGCAAAGAACAGAAAACAAUACUGCAACCUAAUGUGAUGUACAAACCAAAUCAAAAUCUGUUAUGCCUUUUGCCCCCCCCACCCCCCAGCCACCAUUGUUAAUUGUAUGUUCCUCCCUGCCUAACACUUACUAAGUCUGGAACCAAAGGUCAGGAAAGUAGCCUGUUCCCAGGCUUUGCUAAUGCUGUUUUGCAAAUGGUUGCAAAGUGGUACAUAAGAACAGAUUAGAAUAAUUUCCUUGUGGAGCCUUCUACAUUGUUACAGUGCCUAGCAUUGACUUGGCAUUCUUACUCUGAAACCAGGAACUUACAUUUGGGUAAUCGUGGAUGUUGUUUUUUUUUUAAAUUGCUUUUUAGCCUGCUGAUACAGAAACAAGCUGGGCCCUAAACUAGUCAACUAAUGAUUUUCAAGAUUCAUUCAUUCAUUUGAAAAGUUUUAUUUAUGAUGAUGAAAUGCAUUUUUAUGUCACUUGCAUUACACCUUUGUAACAUUUUUUCAUGAAAGCAACGUAUCUUUGCUGUCCUGUAUGUAGAUGUGUGUUGAACUUUUCAGACUAUUAACAUGGUAAACAAAAUCAACAUUUACAAGUAGAACUAUUGAAUUGGUUUCGUACGGUGGAUUUAUGCAGUCCAGAGGCAUUGUUUAGAAUCUUCAAUUUGGAUUUAUACUAAGAUAUCACUAAAAUGUUAUACACACAAAAAUCCCUCUGCAAAACAAUUGCUGUAUCUAUCUUCAUAAUUUAAGCUCAAUGUUAUAGCUAUGGUAAGGCCUUUAUACCCUGAACAAUUCCCCGUUGAAUCAUUUAUAUACACUAAAAGGGGUUCCUUGAAACUAUAUGCAUUCCUAAAUGUAAACAAAGGUGGUGUAUCAUCGAGGGUCUGAGUUCACGUUCUGUGAUAUCCAAGUGGCAAGACUGUGGUCUCCAUUAUCCUAUGGGGAGAAAUGCUGAGUAGAAGCAAAGCAUUUCCUGCAGGGAGGAAAAAGUCAGAUUGAAUUAGUCUAUGCAUUCUUCUGUGCAGCUGCCUCAACAAUUACUGAAAUUGGAAGAGUUCUGGGUGGAGCUUUCUCUCUUGCUGAACAACAUGAGGACACUAAAUGAUCAUUUUUUUGAAAUAAAAGAACUCCACACAUAUAUGAUUAGCUAUCCCGCACCUACAAAUAUUCUUGACAGAUAUUUUUGAGUAUCUUCAUAUACGCCACAUUGAUCUAACAACCUUGAUCUCCAGUCAUAACUGAAAAAAAUAAAUGCACUCCAAAAUAAUAAAUAAUAAAAUAAUUUAACC